AAGACUGUGCUUCAUAGGAUCAUUUCUAUAGGCAAGUUUUCAUUUCUACUGAAUCAACAGUAGAGCUAAUUCAACCCACGAUGACGAGGUGUAGUGGCUGUCCUGGAGCGUGAAACUGUCGGAGUCGGCUUCGUCCCUGACGUGUCGCUCUGAGCUUGAUGAUCGUAUUCUUGUAAGGGCAGACACAAUCUGAGUGGU
rnacentral:snoRNA from 1 species